CCUACGGGAGGCAGCAGUGGGGAAUAUUGCACAAUGGGGGGAACCCUGAUGCAGCCACGCCGCGUGGGUGAAGAAGUACUCCGGUAUGUAAAGCCCUGUCAGCAGGGAAGAAAAUGACGGUACCUGACCAAGAAGCCCCGGCUAACUACGUGCCAGCAGCCGCGGUAAUACGUAGGGGGCAGGCGUUAUCCGGAUUUACUGGGUGUAAAGGGAGCGUAGACGGCAAGGCAAGUCUGGAGUGAAAGCCCGGGGCCCAACCACGGGACCGCUUUGGAAACUGUGUUGCUGGAGUGCAGGAGGGGUAAGCGGAAUUCCUAGUGUAGCGGUGAAAUGCGUAGAUAUUAGGAGGAACACCGGUGGCGAAGGCGGCUUACUGGACUGUAACUGACGUUGAGGCUCGAAGGCGUGGGGAGCAAACAGGAUUAGAUACCCUUGUAGUC
rnacentral:rRNA from 1 species